UAUGUGAUCGUCUCUCGCAUAUCAAUAAGCGGAGGAAAAGAAACUAACAAGGAUUCCCCUAGUAACGGCGAGUGAAGCGGGAAGAGCUCAAAUUUGAAAUCUUAAAGGGUUUCCCUUUACGAAUUGUAGUUUAAAGAAGUGUUUUCUGUUGAGGUUUUGGUAAAAGUUCUUUGGAAUAGGACAUCAUAGAGGGUGAGAAUCCCGUAUUUGACCUUUACUUUCAACUUUGUGAUACACUUUCAAAGAGUCGGAUUGUUUGGGAAUGCAGUCCAAAAUGGGUGGUAAAUUUCAUCUAAAGCUAAAUAUUGGCGAGAGACCGAUAGCGAACAAGUACCGUGAGGGAAAGGUGAAAAGAACUUUGAAAAGAGAGUUAAACAGUACGUGAAAUUGUCAAAAGGGAAGCGUUUGACACCAGUGUUGUUUUUCUGAAAAUCAAUUAAAGAACUGUUUAUGCUAAGCUUGUUUAGACUUUAUCAGCUAUACUGCUUAGUUUUGAGCUUUUCUUUAAUGCACUUUUCAGUUAACAAGUCAACAUCAAUUUCUUUUGCUGUAAAAAAGCUUGAGGAAGGUGGCUUGAGAUUCGUCUUAAGUGUUUAUAGCCUCUUGCCUAUGCAGUCGGAGAGAUUGAGGUCUGCAGCGUAGAUCCUUCGGGGCUAAAUGCAUUUGUGCUAAGUUAUAGCAUUUUAUAGACAACUUGUUGACUAUGAUUUGUCUUGUAGCUUACUCGCUUAUGUUAUUUUACCUACGCUUAGGAUGUUGACGCGCGUGUGUGCGUG
rnacentral:rRNA from 1 species